UUCUAUGUUUGUUUAAAGAAAAAAUUAUAAAUAGGUUGACACUAUUUUUCAUAAUUUUACUUAUUUCAAAUUAAAAAUUGAAAAAAUUAAAUUUACCAGCUUCAUCGACGUCAUCACUGCCAUCUGACGCUCAAAAUGCAAACUAAGACAUUUUCGAUAUCAAAUGCAAUAGAUGAAAUCUUAAAGAUGAGUGAAUGUUUACAAUACUAAAUUUUAAAUCCUAACUUAAACAAUAAACACAACCAUUCAUUGACAAACUAUUGGUUGAUGCAAGCUUUCGGACUUUCGAAUAACGUGGCGUCUAAAUGUCCGCAAAAGUCGUAAAUCUUUUAUUUAUGGCAUACCUAAUUUAAUACGAUAUCAAAUGCAAUAGAUGAAAUCUUGAAGAAGAGUGAAUGUUUACAAUACUCAAUUUUAAAUCCUAACUUAAACAAUAAACACACCCAUUCAUUGACAAACUAUUGGUUGAUGCAAGCUUUCAGACUGUCAAGUAAGGUGGCGUCUAAAUGUCCGCAAAAGUUGUAAAUCUUUUAUUUAUGGCAUACCUAAUUUAAUACGUGAAGGACAAGUACAGAAAACUCGAAACCGGAGAAGAAAUAUUUAUAUUUGGAAAAGGAAUUACACAGAAAAAAAGAGAAUCUGGACAAUACGAUAUGAAUUCAAGAAGGAUAAAAGUUGAAGAAAGUAAAUCUGUUGGAAAUAAUUGCUUAAAGUGCAUUUUUUCUUGUGAAUCAAAAAUUAACUCGGAAAAAAUGAAACUUAUAUUCAAACAUUUUUGACAAUAGCAAAAAUGUUUUUUAUACUAAAUUUAUAUAAAGAAAUGAAAAAGUAAGAUUUAGAACUGUUUCA